rnacentral:rRNA from 1 species
CCUACGGGAGGCAGCAGUGGGGAAUAUUGGGCAAUGGGCGCAAGCCUGACCCAGCAACGCCGCGUGAAGGAAGAAGGCUUUCGGGUUGUAAACUUCUUUUGUUAGGGAAGAGUAGAAGACGGUACCUGACGUAUAAGCUACGGCUAACUACGUGCCAGCAGCAGCGGUAAUACGUAGGUGGCAAGCGUUGUCCGGAUUUACUGGGUGUAAAGGGCGUGUAGCCGGGCUGACAAGUCAGAUGUGAAAUCUUGCGGCUUAACCGCAGAACUGCAUUUGAAACUGUUUUUCUUGAGUAUCGGAGAGGUAAGCGGAAUUCGUGGUGUAGCGGUGAAAUGCGUAGAUAUUAGGAAGAACACCAGUGGCGAAGGCGGAUUACUGGACGGCAACUGACGGUGAGGCGCGAAAGCGUGGGGAGCAAACAGGAUUAGAUACCCGGGUAGUC